rnacentral:tRNA from 1 species
GCCCAGAUAGCUCAAUUGGCAGAGCACCUCACUUGUAAUGAGGAUGUUGGAGGUUCGAUUCCUCUUCUGGGCU